CCUACGGGUGGCAGCAGUGGGGAAUAUUGGACAAUGGGCGAAAGCCUGAUCCAGCCAUGCCGCGUGUGUGAAGAAGGCCUUCGGGUUGUAAAGCACUUUCAGUGGGGAAGAAAGCCUUGGGGCUAAUACCCUCGAGGAAGGACAUCACCCACAGAAGAAGCACCGGCUAACUCCGUGCCAGCAGCCGCGGUAAUACGGAGGGUGCGAGCGUUAAUCGGAAUUACUGGGCGUAAAGCGCGCGUAGGCGGUCUGAUAAGCCGGUUGGGAAAGCCCCGGGCUCAACCUGGGAACGGCAUCCGGAACUGUUAGGCUAGAGUGCAGGAGAGGAAGGUAGAAUUCCCGGUGUAGCGGUGAAAUGCGUAGAGAUCGGGAGGAAUACCAGUGUCGAAGGCGGCCUUCUGGACUGACACUGACGCUGAGGUGCGAAAGCGUGGGUAGCAAACAGGAUUAGAUACCCCAGUAGUC
rnacentral:rRNA from 1 species